AAACCAACUGGGAUUACCUUAGUAACGGCGAGUGAAGCGGUAAAAGCUCAAAUUUGAAAUCUGGUACUUUCAGUGCCCGAGUUGUAAUUUGUAGAAUUUGUCUUUGAUUAGGUCCUUGUCUAUGUUCCUUGGAACGGGACGUCAUAGAGGGUGAGAAUCCCGUUUGGCGAGGAUACCUUUUCUCUGUAAGACUUUUUCGAAGAGUCGAGUUGUUUGGGAAUGCAGCUCAAAGUGGGUGGUAAAUUCCAUCUAAAGCUAAAUAUUGGCGAGAGACCGAUAGCGAACAAGUACAGUGAUGGAAAGAUGAAAAGAACUUUGAAAAGAGAGUGAAAAAGUACGUGAAAUUGUUGAAAGGGAGGCAUUUGAUCAGACAUGGUGUUUUUGCAUGCACUCGCCUCUCGUGGGCUUGGGCCUCUCAAAAAUUUCACUGGGCCAACAUCAAUUCUGGCAGCAGGAUAAAUCAUUAAGAAUGUAGCUACUUCGGUAGUGUUAUAGCUUUUUGGAAUACUGUUAGCCGGGAUUGA
rnacentral:rRNA from 1 species